UACGGAGGGUGCAAGCGUUAUCCGGAUUCACUGGGUUUAAAGGGUGCGUAGGUGGGUUUGUAAGUCAGUGGUGAAAUCUCCAAGCUUAACUUGGAACUGCCGUUGAUACUAUAAAUCUUGAAUGUUGUGGAGGUGAGCGGAAUAUGUCAUGUAGCGGUGAAAUGCUUAGAUAUGACAUAGAACACCAAUUGCGAAGGCAGCUCACUACACAAAGAUUGACACUGAGGCACGAAAGCGUGGGGAUCAAACAGG
rnacentral:rRNA from 1 species